UUCGGACGGAAGAGGGGACAGUUUAGUGGCGAACGGGUGAGUAACGCGUGAGUAACCUGCCCUUCAGAGGGGGACAACAGUUGGAAACGACUGCUAAUACCGCAUAAGCCCACGGUGUCACAUGGCACAGUGAGAAAAGGAGAAAUCCGCUGAAAGAUGGACUCGCGUCUGAUUAGAUAGUUGGUGGGGUAACGGCCUACCAAGUCGACGAUCAGUAGCCGGACUGAGAGGUCGAACGGCCACAUUGGGACUGAGAGACGGCCCAGACUCCUACGGGAGGCAGCAGUGGGGAAUAUUGCACAAUGGGGGGAACCCUGAUGCAGCGACGCCGCGUGAAGGAAGAAGGUAUUCGUAUUGUAAACUUCUGUCGCAGAUGACGAAAUAAUGACGGUAAUCUGCAAGAAAGCACCGGCUAACUACGUGCCAGCAGCCGCGGUAAAACGUAGGGUGCUAGCGUUGUCCGGAAUUACUGAGUGUAAAGGGAGCGCAGGUGGCAGUGCAAGUUGGAUGUAAAAUCUACGGGCUCAACCCGUAUAAGCAUUCAAAACUGUGCAGCUUGAGUGAAGUAGAGGUAGGUGGAAUUUCCGGUGUAGCGGUGGAAUGCGUAGAUAUCGGAAGGAACAUCAGUGGCGAAGGCG
rnacentral:rRNA from 1 species